UGAAUUGACGGGGGCCCGCACAAGCGGUGGAGCAUGUGGUUUAAUUCGAUGCAACGCGAAGAACCUUACCUGGUCUUGACAUCCACGGAAGUUUUCAGAGAUGAGAAUGUGCCUUCGGGAACCGUGAGACAGGUGCUGCAUGGCUGUCGUCAGCUCGUGUUGUGAAAUGUUGGGUUAAGUCCCGCAACGAGCGCAACCCUUAUCCUUUGUUGCCAGCGGUCCGGCCGGGAACUCAAAGGAGACUGCCAGUGAUAAACUGGAGGAAGGUGGGGACGACGUCAAGUCAUCAUGGCCCUUACGACCAGGGCUACACACGUGCUACAAUGGCGCAUACAAAGAGAAGCGACCUCGCGAGAGCAAGCGGACCUCAUAAAGUGCGUCGUAGUCCGGAUUGGAGUCUGCAACUCGACUCCAUGAAGUCGGAAUCGCUAGUAAUCGUGGAUCAGAAUGCCACGGUGAAUACGUUCCCGGGCCUUGUACACACCGCCCGUCACACCAUGGGAGUGGGUUGCAAAAGAAGUAGGUAGCUUAACCUUCGGGAGGGCGCUUACCACUUUGUGAUUCAUGACUGGGGUGAAGUCGUAACAAGGUAACCGUAGGGGAACCUGCGGUUGGAUCACCUCCUUACCUUAAAGAAGC
rnacentral:rRNA from 1 species